rnacentral:rRNA from 1 species
GGGGAAUCUUCCGCAAUGGACGAAAGUCUGACGGAGCAACGCCGCGUGAGUGAAGACGGUUUUCGGAUUGUAAAGCUCUGUCUUCCGGGACGAACGUCAUCUAUGUGAAUAAUGUAGAUGAAUGACGGUACCGGAAGAGGACGCACCGGCUAAACACGUGCCAGCAGCCGCGGUAAUACGUAGGUGGCGAGCGUUGUCCGGAAUUAUUGGGCGUAAAGCGCGCGCAGGCGGGAAUCUAAGUCUGUCUUAAAAGUGCAGGGCUUAACCCUGUGAUGGGACAGAAACUGGAUUUCUUGAGUGCAGGAGAGGACAGUGGAAUUCCCAGUGUAGCGAUGAAAUGCGUAGAUAUUGGGAGGAACACCAGUGGCGAAGGCGACUGUCUGCACUGUGUCUGACGCUGAGGCUCGAAAGCCAGGGAAGUGAACG